rnacentral:rRNA from 1 species
AUUGAACGCUGGCGGCAUGCCUUACACAUGCAAGUCGAACGGUAACGCGGGGCAACCUGGCGACGAGUGGCGAACGGGUGAGUAAUGCAUCGGAACGUGCCCAGUAGUGGGGGAUAGCCCGGCGAAAGCCGGACUAAUACCGCAUACGACCUAUGGGUGAAAGAGGGGGAUCGCAAGACCUCUCGCUAUUGGAGCGGCCGAUGUCAGAUUAGGUAGUUGGUGGGGUAAAAGCCUACCAAGCCUACGAUCUGUAGCUGGUCUGAGAGGACGACCAGCCACACUGGGACUGAGACACGGCCCAGACUCCUACGGGAGGCAGCAGUGGGGAAUUUUGGAUAAUGGCCGCAAGCCUGAUCCAGCCAUGCCGCGUGCGGGAAGAAGGCCUUCGGGUUGUAAACCGCUUUUGCCAGGGAAGAAAUCUUCUGGGUUAAUACCUCGGGAGGAUGACGGUACCUGGAGAAUAAGCACCGGCUAACUACGUGCCAGCCGCCGCAGUAACAC